rnacentral:rRNA from 1 species
AUUGAACGCUGGCGGCAGGCCUAACACAUGCAAGUCGAGCGGAUGAAGGGAGCUUGCUCCUGGAUUCAGCGGCGGACGGGUGAGUAAUGCCUAGGAAUCUGCCUGGUAGUGGGGGAUAACGUCCGGAAACGGGCGCUAAUACCGCAUACGUCCUGAGGGAGAAAGUGGGGGAUCUUCGGACCUCACGCUAUCAGAUGAGCCUAGGUCGGAUUAGCUAGUUGGUGGGGUAAAGGCCUACCAAGGCGACGAUCCGUAACUGGUCUGAGAGGAUGAUCAGUCACACUGGAACUGAGACACGGUCCAGACUCCUACGGGAGGCAGCAGUAGGGAAUAUUGGACAAUGGGCGAAAGCCUGAUCCAGCCAUGCCGCGUGUGUGAAGAAGGUCUUCGGAUUGUAAAGCACUUUAAGUUGGGAGGAAGGGCAGUAAGUUAAUACCUUGCUGUUUUGACGUUACCAACAGAAUAAGCACCGGCUAACUUCGUGC